CCCACGUACGCACGUCCCACCCCCACUUCCCUUCCCCAAAUCCCGCGCUACUGAUCCCAUGCCUAUGAGUCGCCGCCAUCGACUUAUUCUUGUCUACGGCGACCUCAAGCGGCAGCCAAGGAGGAGCUCGACGCGGGGUGGGCCGAGGACGGCGUGCAGAAGCGGCGCAAUGGCGACAACGACGGGCGACCUCAACUGGCAAUACACUGCAGCCAAAGGAGGAGCUAGACGCGGGGAGGGCGACGAGCAGGAGCGGCGCGGUGGCGACAACGACGGACGACGGCCCAGCUCGAUUGGAUUAUUGUGAUCUAAGUAGCGACGCCGUGCAUGUGGUGUCAUCAUGGUUGGAGGAAACAACUCAUAUGGACAUGCAAGGAGACCGAUCAUACUACUUUACGCAAUAAGGUGCAUGCAGGCUCAGUUUGUGCAAGGCAAGUGUAUGCGUAUAUCAACAGUGAUUACUUUAUUUUCAAAUGGCACCUGCAAUACUCAUAACAAGUGCGUGCAUAAGUUAGUAUCAUGUUGCGUGCACAUUGAGCUUAUAAUCUUAUCUGAAUAAUUUGUCAUAUUUUUAUUCUUCUGUUUUAAAUCUUGAUGUGUGCAGA